rnacentral:lncRNA from 1 species
UGAACUCAUUUAUUCAUUCAUCUGCUUUUGACGAAGUGCCUCCUAAGUGCCAGGCACUGUGCUAGGCUCCAGGGUACAGAGAUAAACUUCACAGCCUGGAAGCAUAUAAUUGGACAACAAUCAGUGAAAUUAGCACUUUUAAUGCUCUGAUAGUGGAAAGCACAGAGGACACCAAGCUCUGUUCGGAGAGUGGGGCAGGAAGGGCCAGUUUCUGCCAGUCUUGGGGGAGAAGGAUAGUGGCGACAGUACCACACCCUGCUCAGAGCCAAGGAAUGCUGAUAAACAGAAGCUAUGCCUGCCUGGGUGGACUUUGGAAGGUUAAGUAGAGGGAAUAAAAUAUACACAGGUUAGGCCACUUAAAAGACAAAGUACAUUUCUCCAAUCACAUGUAUUUCCAUAUGGCCAAAAAGAACCGUUUCUAUGGGGAAGAAGUGAGAGAUGAUCAAAGAGAGGAGUGGGACCUUGCACAUCAUGCUAAGGAGUCUGGAUUUUCUCCCAGAGAGCCUGGGAUGCCACCGAAAGAUAUGAUGUAAGGGUGUGACAUGAUCAGGUUUGUGCUUUAGAAAGAGGACUCCCAUUGCAAGGAGGAGAGAUGGAAUUGUGGUUGGGAAGUCAUCCAAGACUGAGGAUGAGAGAAGAAUCCAUGCAGACGGUUGUUACAGUAAUGAUGGGUGCCGGGGGUAGGGGGUGGUCUGGGAGUGGAGCAUGUUUAGAAGGUGGAAUUUGCAGGUCUUGGAAAUGAUUCCAUGAUAGAGGUAAGAGGAAGGGAAGAUAAAAGAAAAGGAGGGGGUAAUCCUCAAUUACUCAUUUUGGUGACUGGGUGGAUGACAAUGACAUUUGCUGAAUAAAAAUAUUCAGUGUGAGAAGCAGAUUUGCAAGGGAGAAAUGACAGGCUCACUUUCAGAGCGGUUGAGUCUCCAGUGCUUGCGAGCUGCAAAAGAGAGGAAGCUGAGAAAGCAGCUCCAGGAAGUGGCUCCACAGCACAGGAGCGAGGCCUGGCAGGGACAGCCUGACAUGUGGAUUCCAGUUAGCCUUUGCAUGCCACUCAGUCCUAGCCCUGGGGGAGAAGACUAGUGGCUAGGGUGCCACACUCUGCAAGCAACUCAGGAGGGUAUUUGAGGCUGACUGCCUGCAGGAACGUGGCUACUUAAGUGAGGAUCCUGGCUCAGUCCUUCCUCUAGAGAAAGUUGUGGUCCAGUUGGGAGAAGGGUUCCCAGGUCACCCAAGCAGUCGGCAGAAGAGCCAAUGCCUGUCUCUAAGCCGUGUAUGUUCAGCUCCCUCACUGAAGACCUCUCAAGGGAAGGAAAGCCAACAGCCAUUCAUCGAGCAUUUAUUGUGAGUACCAGACCCUGCACAGGAGUUUGAACUAGGAGUGGCUCUCAGUUAAUCUUCAUCACAAGUUUACGAAGUCCAAACGCCCAUUUCACAGGUGAGGAAAGAGCAUGAGAAGAGACGAAGACACAGGAAAUGGGGAUGGGGACAUGGGGAAUAGUAACAGCUUAGUCUGGCAAGUGUUAGUGGGGUAGCCCUGGAUCUUGGGAACAUGCCUCCCUCUUUUGUCCUUGACUUUCUCAUCUGAGUAUGAGAGAGCUGGACUUAAUGACCUCUGAGUUCUAUUCCAGUUCUUUUUCACUCUCAGAGUAAUGCAUGAUCCCCAGGAAAGUCCCCUCCACUGGAGGAGGAUGUCCAAAACAUUCCUGUUGGACCACAGUUCUCUCUGGGGAAGCAACCUGGGCUUCACUUUCCCGUGGCUGCCCAGUCUCACCCACAACAUGGCAGCACCAAGAUUUUAAGACAGGGUCCUGUGGGACUUGCAACAAAGCACCAGAUGAGAGAUUCAGCCUGCAUACAUCCUAGGAGAUUUGCCUGGGCUGCAUGCUCCAGGUUUUGGGCUAGGACAGGGGAGAAGGUGAAACUAAGGGCGGGUUUGGAAGGAGGAGUCAAACCACAAAGAAAAUCCUACAGGCUUUCUUCUGGGAAUGUUCUCUGUGGUCUGGGAGUACAGGCAGUUCUAGAGUCUUCCCAAGAGAAAACAUACUUGUUAUCCCCCUUUCAAGAAAGCAAAGACAUGCACCUUCAGAAUUCACAGAUCUUGUUGUCUUUUUGCCCCCCAGUGGAAUCCAGGCGAUCCCCUGCGAUGAUUCUCAAGCUCUAAUUUGAGCAGCUGGACCUCUUGAACUCUGGUAUGUGGAAGUGGAGCUGCUUGCCAGCCUUUAGAGAAGGGUGCAGCAGAGAUUCGCCCUCCCUCAGUUCACACCCACUUUGUUCCAGGGUGGGGCGUCCAUUGCAAACGACAAAACCAACAAGACAAAAUACAAUCACGGGCAGUACAACUCAACUCGCUCAAACAACCAGGAAUUUUACAAUCUCACAGCAUGGAAAAUCCAAAGACAGGUGGCUCUGUUGACUUCACGUCCUCACAGGAUGAGGCUGUUCUUUGUUUUGUUUCUGAUGCUCUGCCACAUUCAGAAUGUUCAAGAUGAGGGUAACUUCUCCAGGUCUCUCCCAUCGGGGUCACAAGACAGCUGCCAUUCACUGAGAAAGACAUGGAGUCGUUCAUUCUUGCCAUCUUUUUAAAAAACAGAACUUCCCCGGGAGCUCUCCAACCCCUGCAGCCCUCAUCGGCCCGGGAUGCUUGACACACACAAGUUAUGCCUUGCCAAAACCCAUCGUCUGCACUCAGGACAGGGUACGGCUGUGCAGCCCUGAAUGAGAUAACUAAGUGGAGAAUGGUGGAUGUCUAAACUCAGUGCAGGCUCAGUUAGGAAAGGAGAAGGCUUUCCUGCCCAGGAUCUGGUACUCACAAUAAAUGCUCGAUGAAUGGCUGUUGGCUCUCCUUCCCUUGAGAGGUCUUCAGUGAGGGAGACGAACAUACGUGGCUUAGAGGCAGGAAAGGGUGUGAAUUGCACAGACAAAUGGCAUCAUGCGCUAAAGAGGGCCCAGCUUCCCUAGGCCCGGCGGACUUGGCUUCUCACCUGGCUCUCCAACUAACUGGUGCUCAUCUGCUUGGCUUUCCACCAACCAAUUGCCUUUUUUCUCUUUCAUCCAGC